rnacentral:rRNA from 1 species
UUAGCGGCGGACGGGUGAGUAACACGUGGAUAACCUACCUAUAAGACUGGGAUAACUUCGGGAAACCGGAGCUAAUACCGGAUAAGAUUUUGAACCGCAUGGUUCAAUAGUGAAAGACGGCCUUGCUGUCACUUAUAGAUGGAUCCGCGCCGUAUUAGCUAGUUGGUAAGGUAACGGCUUACCAAGGCAACGAUACGUAGCCGACCUGAGAGGGUGAUCGGCCACACUGGAACUGAGACACGGUCCAGACUCCUACGGGAGGCAGCAGUAGGGAAUCUUCCGCAAUGGGCGAAAGCCUGACGGAGCAACGCCGCGUGAGUGAUGAAGGUCUUCGGAUCGUAAAACUCUGUUAUCAGGGAAGAACAAACGUGUAAGUAACUGUGCACGUCUUGACGGUACCUGAUCAGAAAGCCACGGCUAACUACGUGCCAGCAGCCGCGGUAAUACGUAGGUGGCAAGCGUUAUCCGGAAUUAUUGGGCGUAAAGCGCGCGUAGGCGGUUUUUUAAGUCUGAUGUGAAAGCCCACGGCUCAACCGUGGAGGGUCAUUGGAAACUGGAAAACUUGAGUGCAGAAGAGGAAAGUGGAAUUCCAUGUGUAGCGGUGAAAUGCGCAGAGAUAUGGAGGAACACCAGUGGCGAAGGCGACUUUCUGGUCUGUAACUGACGCUGAUGUGCGAAAGCGUGGGGAUCAAACAGGAUUAGAUACCCUGGUAGUCCACGCCGUAAACGAUGAGUGCUAAGUGUUAGGG